rnacentral:rRNA from 1 species
UAUGAAGGGGGCUAGCGUUGCUCGGAAUCACUGGGCGUAAAGCGCACGUAGGCGGAUUGCUAAGUCAGGGGUGAAAUCCUGGAGCUCAACUCCAGAACUGCCUUUGAUACUGGCGAUCUCGAGUCCGGGAGAGGUGAGUGGAACUGCGAGUGUAGAGGUGAAAUUCGUAGAUAUUCGCAAGAACACCAGUGGCGAAGGCGGCUCACUGGCCCGGUACUGACGCUGAGGUGCGAAAGCGUGGGGGAGCAAACAGG